rnacentral:piRNA from 1 species
UAAAGGGAAAAAUACCUUGAAUUUGGGAAAG